UGUAAGCUUGUAACUGACAAAAAAUAUAUAAAAUAUUUAGACAGUUUUGCGUGUGUAUGUAAGUGGGCGCGUGAGUGGGGCGGGGACACCCACAGCAAAGAAAGCCCAAUGCACUUGACGUCAAUUAACAAUUAAGAACUGCAUAACAGCAAAUUCCAUUCAAAGUAAAUUAAAUUUCCAACGGUUAUCAUCCUAUAUUGUUGUGGAUGCUGUUGCAGUUUGUAAAUGGAAGUUUGUUGAACUUUCAAUGUGUGUAAGUACAGUACUUCCUAUAACUAGGGGUAUUUUCCAACUAACUCUCUUUUUUGCUAGUAACCACAAAAGCCUUUACAUAAAUAAAUGCUAGCUGUUGUGUAUUUAAAUCCAAAAUACCACAACGUUGAAAUACUGAUCCAAAACGUAUGAAGAGCUGCCGACAUAGGUACAUGGUAGGUACCAAAAUAAGUCAAAUCCAUUAUAAGCACUUUUAUUUACCAUAGAAAAAUAUGGAGUACAAAAAAAUAAUAUGUUUUACUUUUAAAUUCUUUAAAUUAAACAUUAAAAUAACAGUAAAAAUAGAGUCAAAAUGCAAUUAAACACAAUGAAUUUUAUAAAUGUAUCACGGUUAUUAAAAGUUCAUAAUAAUUUUACCAAUAUUGUUCAUGUAUA
rnacentral:lncRNA from 1 species